AGACCAUGAGUUGGGCAUUUAAGUAGGAGCUUCUUGAAUCUCACCCACGUUUCAUGGAUGGGUUCCCCCUCCCUAGCUUGAAACUUUGAAUUUCGUCUCUAAGUUU
rnacentral:snoRNA from 1 species